AUUUCUCCAUAGAAAACAACAAAAAAAAUGUAUCUGCACAUUGUAUCAACAAAUUUGGGUUUGCUCCUCGAAGUGUCCGUCAUUUCUCUGGCGCAACCAAAAUGAGCUCCAUAUCACGGUUGAAAGUCUUCCCUCUCUUUCUCCUCCCUCCGACCUCCUCCGUGCCACCGUUCCCCUCCCGCUUCUUAUUGCGGCCCUCCCCCAAACCACACAUUCCUCCCGUUUUUGCCGUCGCGUCGACCUUCAAUUCUAAUUCUGUUCCUCCACGAAAUGGAGUUUAUAGAGUCGGUGAUUUUAUGACGAGGAAAGAGGAUCUUCAUGUGGUCAAGUCCACCACAACUGUUGAACAAGCAUUACAAAUGCUCGUCGAGAACAGGAUAACCGGUUUUCCUGUGAUUGAUGAUGACUGGAAAUUGGUUGGUCUUGUCUCAGACUAUGAUUUAUUGGCACUGGAUUCAGUCUCAGGUUUAUCUCCUCGUUUCCUAAAUCGUACUGAAAGGAGUCAAAGGACCGAUGUAGGCAUGUUUCCUGAAGUUGACAGCACUUGGAAAGUAAGACUUUUUUUCAUGUCUUGUUAUUGUUGUACAGUCAAACUUCUUUCCUUCCAUGAUGUUUUUUCAUAUGAGUUGUUCGACUAUAAGAAUGAAGGUGUUGCAAGGGACACAAGUAACUGAAUCCUGUUACAGGAAGUUAGAAGUGAGCACUUGAUUUUUACACAGUCAAAUGUUAUGGCAUUCCUUCCCCAUGUUGAUUCGUGGGGCUCGAAGGCAUUGAGUGCUGAAAAGAUUUAUUUAAAUAUUCUUGGCAUCUUUCACACCAACCUCUCCUGCCAGUAGGGUAUGAAGUUUACAACCUCUGAGAUCUAGUGUAUUCAUACAACUAUGACAUGAACAUAAUUAAUCGUAAUAUUCCGAGUUUGGAGAAAAUAUGCUGAAGAUAGUUUCAACACCAGAAAUGCAGGAAAUAGAAUUGAAAGUUUUCAACAAAAUGAAAUCAAACAGCUUGGUAGUCUGUUUAUGCAUUAGCAGCUCGAAACCAGAUGCAGCAAGAGUCGUAAUUGAGGUCUGAACGAUCUCAUAUGUUAUUUACAAUUACAUGAGUUUCUAUUGGACUGGCUUUGUUGCAUCUCUGUGCUCCUGUUCUUGGACUGGAUUUGUUUCUGCAAUUAAAGGAGUUUCUAUGUAUUUCAUUUAGUGCUGAUGACAUUCAAGGAAGUACAAAACUUGCUUACGAAGACCAACGGACAAGUUGUGGGUGAUCUGAUGACUCCAGCACCAGUUGUGGUUGGCUUUUCCACCAGUCUGGAGGAUGCUGCAAGAGUGCUACUGAAGACGAAAUACCG